rnacentral:lncRNA from 1 species
GGAAUGAGUGGAUUUGAUGGCAGACAGCCAGGCGCGCGCUAGUUACCAUAACUCGAUUACAGGAUUACAGCUUUUCACCACCCCCCCACAUCUAUCAGGAUGGACUACCCCAGCUGUUGUGCCAUUUGAGGAUUCCCUUCCGUUCUUGGCUGUUGCCUUAAUGCUCAGAGGAAUUUCCAGUUGUUUGUUUAAUUCUUAAACACUUCCCUUCCUCCCUGCGAGUGUGAAAGUUGCCCGGAUCCAGCUGAGCCGCCUGGCAGGCUUUCAAACAGGCCAGCGGUGGAGAGGAGAGCCUGCUGUCAGGGCCGAGCAUUACGG